GUCCCUGUGGCUCAGUUGGUAGAGCAUGGUGUGUGCAACGCCAGGGUUGUGGGUUCGAUUCCCUCGGGGGGCC
rnacentral:tRNA from 1 species